rnacentral:misc_RNA from 1 species
AGAGAGAGAGAGAGAGAAAGCAAAGUAAAAGUCCAAAACAUUUUCAGGUAGUGAAGAUUAUUAUGGAAAUGAAAAAUGCUGCUCCAUCAAGAAACCUAAGAAAAAUAUAUGGUAGCUGCAGCAAUUCAGAGAAUUGAGAAAUUCCUCACAGGAUCAAUGCCAACUUUGGCCCCAGGUGGCAAAACAUCAUUCAGCCAUUCAAUUGUAUUUGGGACUCCAAGAUUACCAGCCCGCAUGAGAAUCCAACUGGAGUUCAACUGCUUCUCAGCCUGAAGAAAAUAUCGACCAUCCGUCCAAAGAGCUGCCUGCUCCUUAGUAACAACGACAGUGCCAGCGCUACCAGUAAACCCUGAUAUAUAGGCUCUUCGCAUGUAACACUCAGCAAUGAAUUCACUCUGGUGAGCAUCCUGAGAAGGUAUAAUAUACGCGUCGAUGCCAACCCCAGGCUUGGAGAACAGCUCACGGAGGGCACGGAGCUUCUCGUCCGGUUCGGAUUUAUGGGUGAUAUUCCUGCGAAUUUGCGAAGAAGGCUUGGCUGUGAUAGAACUACAACCUUUUAUUAAAAGAGGGCAUUUGGAGAAAUUAGAGUAGAAUUUGGGUUGAGUUCUGAUAUUCGGGAAAAAGGACGUAGGAAGUGAGCUAGAGAGGAAUCGAUAGUAGAGAGAUCGAGAAGAUUGAGCAAGGGACGCUGAGAAGGAGAGCGGCUGCAUCAUUGGCGAUUCCAGCGAGUGUAUAGCAGCGAAUUCCACAGAGAUAUCAGAGACAAGAAGAAGAAGAAGACGAAAAAGAAGAAGAAGAAGAAGA